UAUGGGGGGCCUUUUGCUGGUCUUUUAAAGAGGUCAGCUCCCCUAAAAUCUAUUAGCGGAACAAUUUGUUGACCGUCCAUUGGUGUGAUAAUUAUCUACGCUAUUGACGUGAGGCAGUUCAGCUUCUAACAGUUCAUUGACUUGGACAGUUUUUUCAUUAAUGUGACCUCAAAUCAGGUAGGACUACCCGCUGAACUUAA
rnacentral:misc_RNA from 1 species